rnacentral:pre_miRNA from 2 species
GUUGAUGGGAAUGUUGUUUGGCUCGAGGUCAUCUAGGUUGAUCUUUAUUUCCAUGAAAUUUUCUUGGAUUAAUUUCACUUUUUUUUCCGGGAAAGUUUCUGCAAUACAUAUAGCCCUAUAUGAUCUCGGACCAGGCUUCAUUCCCGUCAAC